UGGUUAGCUCAGUUGGUAGGGCGUUCCACCGAAAAUAGAAAUAUCCCGGGUCCGAUACCCGGACCA
rnacentral:tRNA from 1 species